AGUGAACGCUGGCGGCAGGCCUAACACAUGCAAGUCGAGCGGCAGCACGGGUAGCAAUACCUGGUGGCGAGCGGCGGACGGGUGAGGAAUACAUCGGAAUCUGCCUUGUUGUGGGGGAUAACGUAGGGAAACUUACGCUAAUACCGCAUAAGACCGAGAGGUGAAAGCGGGGGAUCGAAAGACCUCGCGCGACAAGAUGAGCCGAUGUCGGAUUAGCUAGUUGGCGGGGAAAGGCCCACCAAGGCGACGAUCCGUAGCUGGUCUGAGAGGAUGAUCAGCCACACUGGAACUGAGACACGGUCCAGACUCCUACGGGAGGCAGCAGUGGGGAAUAUUGGACAAUGGGCGCAAGCCUGAUCCAGCCAUGCCGCGUGGGUGAAGAAGGCCU
rnacentral:rRNA from 1 species